rnacentral:tRNA from 1 species
UCCCUGGUGGCUCAGACGGUAAAGCGUCUGCCUGCAAUGCGGGAGACCCGGGUUUGAUUCCUAGGUUGGGAA